CAUCCUAACAAUGGGCAAAGAGACACCUUGUUGGUGAUGGUGUUCUUAUAGCAGUCAGGGGCACAGCAGAUGGCAGUCCUUUGUUCAUCUUAGCUUGAUGCCUGGCUUGAUGGUCAAAGCUGUUUUAUAUAUAGGACUCAUAA